rnacentral:lncRNA from 1 species
AAUCUGAGUCCACAGCGUGAGAGGCCUGCCAGAGAAAUAAAUGCAACUUAGACACAGUGGCGUUUGGCAGAUCGGUCUGAGCAUGUACAGCAACUCUUGAAGACAGACUUUGGCAAUCAAAGAACAGCUAGAGGGAAAGCAUAUCACAGGAACUGUCAGGGAAGGGGACAUGAGAAUUGUGGGCAUGAGAGGUCAGGGGUGAGAGUGAUGGAUGGCCUGAAACAGCAAUAGUCUGAUAUCUGGAGAUGUUUGCUACUCGGUGAUGUUCAGCUCUCAUGGGUACUGCUCUGCAGUGGCAACAGUCAGAUUGCAGAGGAUACUGGCUUCUCAAUGCUUGAGGUCUGUAAUGGGAAGGUGCUGUAUGCUCUGAUAUUGCCAAUUCUGACUCGACGAUCUCACUUAUGUGUGGGGCCUGGUACUAUAUUUCAUUGUAGCAGAAACCUAGAUACAGUCAAGUUUACAGGUGCUUGAACUGGUUAGUCUAUGGGACCUUCCAGCUCACUGUCUCCAAGAACCACAACUCUGAUGCAGAAUUCUCUUCCCAACUUCAUUGAAGGCUCCUAAGGAAAUCUCUGCAGGACCACCAGGUGAGAUUGAUUCAUGGAUAACGUUUUUUUCAAAACCAGAACAAUUUAAAGUUUUUCUGUGUUCUUUGAAAACUUAUUUUACACAUCGCUCCCAAGGUUUAUUGAAUUUAUACGUUUAACUGUUGGAUGCAUCACCUCUGGUACAGUUCAUUAGUAAUCACCUUUCUUUUGUUCAGAGCCCAGAGGUCUAGGUCAGAGAGGGGCUUCAGGAAAGAUCUAAUGAUACCAACUGGCAGAUCCGGAGCAGUGAGCUAAUCCCACCCAGGAGGCUGCAUUUAUACGCCAUUUUCAAAUGACUGCAUGUGGCCCAGCUUCUUCAUAAAGCCCACAUACCUAUUCUAUGCCUAAGAACCUAAAUCAGGAAGAAUGUAGCCAAAGAAGAAAAACCCUUUUCCAGUCUUGAACUAUCCCGAGCUCUGGGGCUGUCUUCUCAGGG